UUGUAUUAAGCUUUAGGUGAAAGGCUAGGGCAAACCCUAGUGUAUCCUACAGCAUAACAAACUUGAGUUGGGCAGGGGGGGGUAGAAUUUUCAGGGGAGGGGUAGAAUCCACGGAUACUGAAAGGAAUGCCAAAGGCGAAGGCAGCCCCCUGGGCCCAACUGACGCUAAAGUACGGAAGCGUAGGUAGCAAAUAGGAUUAGAUACCCUAGUAGUCUACGCCGUCAACGAUGGGUAUUGGCAGCUGCGCUGCUAAGCUAACGCGUUAAAUACCCCGCCUGGGGAGUACGGUCGCAAGAUUAAAACUUAAAGGAAUUGACGGGAACCCGCACCAGCGGUGGGGCAUGCGGUUUAAUCCGAUACUACGCGUAAAAGCUUACCAGCUCUUGUACAAACAGGUGUUGCAUGGCUGUCGUCAGCCCGUGUCGUAAGAUGUUUGGUUAACUCCUUUAACGGGCGUAACCCUUACCCGUCCCGGGGACCGCUAUUAAAGCAAUAGAGGAAGAUAAGGACCACGCCAAGUCGUCAUGGCCCUCAUGAGCUGGGCUACACAUGUGUCACAAAGCCGCACACAACGAGAUGCGAUGAGGCGACUCGGAGCAACCUUUAACGUGCGGCCUAGUUCGGAUUGUUCCCUGAAACUCGGGAGCAUAAAGGCGUAAUCGCUAGUAAUCGCGUA
rnacentral:rRNA from 1 species